CCUACGGGGGGCUGCAGUGGGGAAUAUUGGACAAUGGGCGAAAGCCUGAUCCAGCCAUGCCGCGUGUGUGAAGAAGGCCUUCGGGUUGUAAAGCACUUUCAGUGGGGAAGAAAGCCUUGGGGCUAAUACCCUCGAGGAAGGACAUCACCCACAGAAGAAGCACCGGCUAACUCCGUGCCAGCAGCCGCGGUAAUACGGAGGGUGCGAGCGUUAAUCGGAAUUACUGGGCGUAAAGCGCGCGUAGGCGGUCUGAUAAGCCGGUUGUGAAAGCCCCGGGCUCAACCUGGGAACGGCAUCCGGAACUGUCAGGCUAGAGUGCAGGAGAGGAAGGUAGAAUUCCCGGUGUAGCGGUGAAAUGCGUAGAGAUCGGGAGGAAUACCAGUGGCGAAGGCGGCCUUCUGGUCUGACACUGACGCUGAUGUGCGAAAGCGUGGGUAGCAAACAGGAUUAGAUACCCUUGUAGUC
rnacentral:rRNA from 1 species